UUUUUUUUUUUUUUUUUUUUUUUUUGAGUAAUGUAGGCCAGUUAAUUUAUUUAUGGAAUGUCUGUCAAUAUGGGUUUGUGUGAUGUGUCAGAUGACUACAUUCAGGUUGCGGCAUUUGGGGCUGAGAUACCAAGAGAUGAGGUUUUAUCCUUUUCACGGUAUCAUGUUGGAGGCAAAUCACCUUUUUUGGUGAUGUUAGUUUUGAUCACUUGGUUAAAGUUUUGUCUGUUUUCUCCACUAUAUAGCUAAUGUUUUUCCUUUUGUAAUAACUAAUUUGUAGUAAGAUACUUCAAUAUAAUAUAAACUGUUCUUCAUCAACUUUCCUCCAUUAAAUUUAGCAUUCUCUGGUGAUUACAUUUUUUCUCUGACGCUUGCAAAAUGGUAUUUUUUAAAAAUCCCAUCAUUUGUUAGUUGACAAACUCCUAUAGAAAAGGACAUUCUAUCCUUAUUUAUCAUUAUAGACUCAUGAAUCCUUGUUUUGUUCAGUAGAUUUUGAUUCAUUAUUUUCUUAUUUGUUUUGAGCUCAAAUUAUCCCUGCAAGAUGUUCCAGGCUCAUUUUUUUAAACUUUCCUCUUCCUGCUAUGGAAAUGUAAGGCAUCAUUAUAAAUAAAUAAUUUCCCAACAAACCUACGAAAUAGGUACUAUUACUGUUUCUAUCAUAUGGCUGAAGGAACUAAAGAGAGAUUAAAUACAUACCCCAAAGUCAUGGAGCUAUGAUGUGGUGAAACCAUCGACAUAGCUGCUUCUAGUCUUCUCACUCUCCCUACCCCCAACCACCCCCUAAAUCUACUCUUCACAAAGUUAACAGAAUGAUGUGCCUCAGAUGAAAACACUGAAUCUCUCCCACCACACAACAAUGCCUGGGCACGUUAAAUAUUUGAUAAAGUUGAAUGGAAUUAAAUUGACAAAGAGUUAAUGAAUAAACCCUAUCACUAUUUUCUCUGUAGCUAUUUUUUUUUCAGUCAUUUAGCCCAAGGAGCAUAAAAGGGAUUCCUAACAUGAAGUGAGAGGAGAAGAAACAGAGGAUGCUGUCAAACCUUUAGGGCAGAAGUGAAGAUCUCUCUUAGAAUAUCUACCCCUAUGGCCAAUAUGGAUGUACUCCUCACCCACCCCCCACCUCGUAACCUCUGCUUCUAUAUCUGAAAUCCCACCAUAAUGACCUCACACUGGCCUUGUGCUCAGAACUCUUUCCUUUUCCCAAGCCAAUAUCCCACCCUUGAAUCCCUGACUUGACCCCCAGUCACCACCCUGUGUCUUCAUUUACUUCUUUAUCUAACUUAGAUCCAAUGGUUCAGAAAUGCGCAUACUCCUCAAACUCUAGUCUCAGCUUCCUAACUAUUCUUUCCCUGCAAGUUCUCAGUCUUGGAGGAAUUCACAUAUCUCACUCCUUCCCUGAAAUGCCUGAGCCCUUCUGGAGAAAAAUCACGCAAUAAGGAUGCUUGGCAAGUUUCAGCAAGCUUCUGACCUGAAUCCUGAUCAGCUGCUUCUCCUCCAUACCCCUCAACCUUGAUUCUAAGUUGUUAUCUAUCUAUAUUCUUUCCCCAUCACACCCUUUCACUGACCACCCCCUACAACUGGGGGAAAGUCCAGGCUUUUGAGCAGAAGCAAUACCUCAAUUUAAUCCAUAUGUACCAGGUAGCCCGGGUGGCUCAGCGGUUUAGCGCCGCCUGCAGCCCAGGGCAUGAUCCUGGAGACCCUGGACCCCUCUGCCUGUGUCUCUGCCUCUUUCUCUUUGUGUGUCUCUCAUAAAUAAAUAAAUAAAAUCUUUGAAAAAAAAAAUCCAUAUGUACCCGCCUUUACUUCCUUUCUUCUUUGUCUUAAUGAAGAAGUGACUUUUAACUUUUACAAAACCUAACUUGUGCUCUGGAUCCCAGCUUGUACUACAACUUUCCUCCAUUAAAUUAUAUCUUCUUUUUCCUGCAUGCUUCAUCUCACUAUUAUUCUGUAUAUCUUCUCUUUUAUUGCUUUCUCUUCAGCCAUAUAAAUAAGCUCAGUUCUCUCUUACCUUUAAAAGUAAAACAUCCUCCUACAUCUUCCCUUUGUCUGUUGCCAUAUUGUUUUAAUUUCUCCCAUGAUUAAAAUAUUUGAAAUAGUUUACACUCACUGCCUCCACUUUUCUCACUUCCCUUUUGUCCCUCGAACCACUUCAGUUUACCAUCUGCCUGUACCAUCUCACUGAAACUACCUUCUCCAAGGCCACCCAUGACCUCUUAGUUGCUAAAUUCAUUGGAUACUUUUCUUUUUUUUCUUUUAAAGAUUUUAUUUAUUUGUUCAUGAGAGACAGAGAGACAGAGACGCAGGCAGAGGGAGAAGCAGGCUCCAUGCAGGGAGCCCAACGUGGGACUUGAUCCCAGGUCUCCAGGAUCACGCCCUGGGUCGAAGGCAGGCGCUAAACUGCUGAGCCACCGGGCUGCCCUCAUUGGAUACUUUUCAGGCCUUAUCUUACCUAACAGCACCCUCACCUUUAUCCUGUUUUUCCUUCAAAAACAUAUCAUUAGACAUUGAGGAUACUAUACUGAACCAAACAUAACUGACCUUGUCCUUAUGGAAUGCAUGGUCCAGGAGAAACAGACAUUAAACAAAGAAUCACACGGUUAAUUAUUAAAUGUAAAUGUGAUAUGCUACAAAGAAAAAAUUAAUAUUUUAUUUAUUUAUUCAUGAGACACACAGAGAGAGACAGAGACAUAGGCAGAGACAGAAGCAAGGUCCCCAUGGGGAACCUGAUACUGGACUCAAUCCCAGGACCCCGGGAUCACGACCUGAGAUGAAGGCAGAUGCUCAACCACUGAGCCACCCAGGUGCCCCGCUACAAAGAAAAUUUAAAUAUUCUUAGAAUAGAGGAUCUAGCCUAAUGUAGAAAAGAAAUGAUAAAAACAAAACUUGUAGAAAUGGCACUUAAACUGAGAUCUGAAGAAUGAAUAGCAGCCCAAUUAGAGGUGGUAGAGAAGAGAAAAACUUUCUAGACUAAGAAAACAAAAUGGAAGAGCCCUAAGAAGAGCAGGAGGGUAGACUAUUUGUAUUUGGGCAAUGUUAAAAAAAAAAAAAAGGCAAUGUGACUGGAUCAAAGAGAAUGAGGGGAUUCCAGAUGGGGUUGGAGAUGAGGACAUAGGUGUGAAGAAAUCACUCAAAAUUUUAGAUCAUGUUAUGAAAUUUGGAUUUUAUUCUAAGAAUGACUUGUUGCCAUUGAAGAAUUUUAAAUAGGAAUAUAGUGGGAUCAGAUUUCACUCCAGAGCCCCCAACCAUCAGUGCAAAUAAUGGCAACUUGGACUAGGGCAAAGGCAAACUUGGACAGGGAUGCAUACAGAUUAAAGGUACAUUUAGGAGCUAUAAUGAUGAGACCCUGAAAUUUAUUGCCCUGGGGGGUAUCAGUAACAAAGAAAACUAAUAAGGAUAAAACCUAAAUUUCUAACUCAAGCAACUGAGUAGAUGAUGCUAUUGUUUGCCAAGAUAAGGAAUAUAGGGGAAGGCAUUUCCUUGGAAGUAAAAAUUGUGAGUUUGAGGCACCUCCAGACAUGUGGAGAUGUCCCUGUGGAUAUAUAGGCUUAAAGUUCAAGAGCAACUCUGGGCUGAAGAAAUAAACUGAAGAGUCAUCAGCAAAUGGAAGGGAGCUGAGGCCAAAGGAGGAUAAGAUACUGGCUAGAGACACAGAAGAGUGAGGAAAAGCCUUGAGUUUACCUACCUACGCAUACCCUCUGCUCUACAGCCAUCUGAACUACUAGUUCUUUAUAUGACCUAUUCUUUCUCUGUCUUUUAUUUCUUUGCACAUACUAUUCCCUCUUGAUUCACCUUUCUCAUCUCUUCUUUGCUCUUAUUUCAAAAUUCAAUUGAGGUGCUAACUCCUCCAUAAAGUUUUCCCUUGUCUUCCCAUUGGUUAGAUGCUGCUACUAUCUGAUCUUAGAAUUCCUUAUCCAUAGUUCUAAUAUAACACUCAUCAACCACACUGCAGUAUGUUUGGCCCUCUACUAGACCAUAAAUUUCUCGAGGACAGAACUUCCACUUAUUUCUCGGUUCUAGGGCCUAGCACAGAGCAAACACAUAGCAAUCAUCUCAAUGUACACUUGGAAAAGACAAAAAAGGUCUGCUGGGGAAAGCUCCCUGUGUGGGUCAUGUAAUCUUUGACUGUUAGAGCCAGAAUGAACUUUGGAUGUUUCUACUCCAGCGUAUUUUACUGAGGUGGGGGGUAGAGGCUCAGGCCCAAUCACAUAUUAAUAAGAGGCAGAAACAUAUUGAGAAUCUAUAGUUUUCUGGCUCCCAGGCUAGUAGUUUUCCUAUCGUUGGAUUACCAACAACCCUAGAAACUACUCACUCAGUGACUUGCAUGUAAAAUGUAUGCAUGUGGGCCUUUUUUUAAAGGCAAAAUACUAAAAAAUCCUAAAAGAUGGGAUAUGAAAAUGUUGAAAAAGACACCUCUUUUAAAGGUGGACUUCUUAAAAGAUAUGUAUACAGGUACAAACGUGUAACUGAAAUGACCUAAGAGCUAUAGAACAAAUUCAGCACCUAUACCACUAUUGAGUUUCUGCGUGAUCAAUAAAAGCAAAAAGAUGUCUACAUUGUGUAGAUUGCUCAUAUGUGGUCCUGUCUAGGUGGGGACUGGGUACAGGAGAUUGACUAGUUCAUUAACAACAACAACAACAAUAAUAAUGGCAACUGGUAUUUAUCGAAUCUCACCAUGCCUGAGUGCUGGGAUGAAUUCUUUCAUGCAUUAAUUCAUUUGAUCAUCUCGUCAAAGCCCUAUGAGGAGGUUAGAGAUGUUACUGCCUAAGGUCACAUGGUUAGUUGGUAGGCAACCAGCGAUUCGAUCCUGGAGGUGUGACUAUAAAAGUAUGUUUUAAAACACUGGGCUCUCCCGCUUUUAAUUAGUUAAGCCUAUAUAUCCUUUCCGUGUACACAGCUCGGAUUGCUAGUGUAUUCUUCUUGUUGAUCUUUCUUUUAGAAAAAAAAAAAAAAAA
rnacentral:lncRNA from 1 species